rnacentral:rRNA from 1 species
GCCAGACUCCUACGGGAGGCAGCAGUGGGGAAUAUUGGGCAAUGGGCGCAAGCCUGACCCAGCAACGCCGCGUGAAGGAAGAAGGCUUUCGGGUUGUAAACUUCUUUUGACAGGGAAGAGCAGAAGACGGUACCUGUCGAAUAAGCCACGGCUAACUACGUGCCAGCAGCCGCGGUAAUACGUAGGGGGCAAGCGUUAUCCGGAUUCACUGGGUGUAAAGGGAGCGUAGACGGCGACGCAAGUCUGGAGUGGAAGCCCGGGGCCCAACCCCGGGACUGCUCUGGAAACUGCGGCGCUGGAGUACGGGAGGGGCAGGCGGAAUUCCUGGUGUAGCGGUGAAAUGCGUAGAUAUACGGAGGAACACCAGUGGCGAAGGCGGCCUGCUGGACAUUAACUGACGCUGAGGCGCGAAAGCGUGGGGAGCAAACAGGAUUAGAUACCCCUGUA